UUUAAAUUAAAUAUUAAUUAGCUUUGUUUUUAUGAUUUGUUAUUUAAUAAUUAUGAAAAUAUAUAUUUUUAGACAUUGGAUCCUCUUUUUCUUAAAUAAAAAAAAAGCAACAAAUAAGUGAAUAAAACAAAAAGAAAAAUAAAAGAAAUGGAGACUCCAACGUCUCUCUCUUACACGCGUCCUCCCUAUAUACUAGCCACUAUCACUCUCCACAAUCCACUCACAAA
rnacentral:lncRNA from 1 species